UUUUUUACGCAUAUGUAAUCACCUCACCACAUUUUACUGUUCCUAUUAAUUUUCUGAAAGGUAUAGUAAAACGUAUUGUAUGGUUUAUUAGUUCCUAUUAUGCGUAUCAAAAUCAAAAAGUGCUGCCUAGCGGUAAAUAAAAAAAACCGCUAUCGGCAGUACCACUUUUGCGUACAAAUAUUUCAUUUCUAUUUAAAUAGCGGUUAAAAGCCGCUUUUUCUUUUUU
rnacentral:ncRNA from 2 species